AUAAUACAUAAAUAUUACAAAAGGUAUCAGUAACAUAAAUACUAAAUACAGAGCAGAAUAAAUAAAUACUAAAUACAGAGCAAAAUAAAUAUGUAAUAGUGCGAUGCGAAAAAGUAGUGGGUAGCCAUAAUGAAACGGCGAACGCACCCACAACCUGCAGCCUAAAAUAAAUUUCAGUAACCGGGCGCGAUCCGUUCAGUGUACCCGCGUCAUCCCGCAAGCCAUUCAUAGAUAACGGGACGAGGCGGCGCCCGCGCACCCACGCCCGGAUACGAAAUGAAGCACCCCGCGAACACCUAGUUCGUACAGUGCGUGCAGUGAUCACAAUAACAACCACUAUCAGCAGCAAAAGUGAUGCAUAAUGUUCGUAUUGUUACUAAGUCAGCAUUACGAUAAAAAAAAAAGGGACAAAUUAAGCAGCAUGGCUGCACGCACCAGAGUUUAAGAUGUUGAGGUGAUGGAUUAUAAUGUACUACAGCGUGCAGCCCGCACCAUGCAGCCAACCACGGGACACGGAGCCAAUACUGCGCGUGAAUACAUUCGAAGUCACGGAGGGGUGGUCUCAAGGUGUUCCAUAUGAAGCUGGCUGCAUAACGGAACGAGUUGCGAAACAGUGCGGUUUUGUGCUUCGGAGUGACCAUAAGAUAAGUGGACGCCCUAGUAUUUAUUGUAUGAUGGUUACGAGACCAUUCAAGUUUAUUGUAAAGGUACUGGGGUGAUUUGAACUUUAUAACGCCAAACAGGAGCGCGGCAAGGUGCAGCCGCUGUCUGGCGGCUACCUUCAGUAGCCCGCAGGAGUUGAGAUAAGGGGUAACAUGGGCGCGGGGAGGGAUAUCCAUACAGAAUCUAAUACAGGCGUUUUGUACCCUUUGCAGUAGCUUUUCCGUUUUCCGUAAAAGACAUGGGCCAUAUACAGUGUCCGCAUAAUUUAGUUUAGACAGAACAAGCGACUCACAUAACUGUAUUCGCAGGUCAACAUUAAUGUAUCGUCUAAUUUUAUAAAGAGUCUUGAGUCUGAAGAAGCAGUUUUUGACCAUUUCAAUUGCGUGUUUUUCAAACCGUAAAUAAUUGUCGAAUGUUAGGCCUAGGUUACGAGCUUCGGUUACCUGCUCAAUAUCUACUCCUGCUAGUUUUAUGGUAGGGUUAUUUGUAUUAGUAAUUUGAACUUGUUUCCUUGUGCCAAUAAUAAUAAACUUCGACUUAUCGGGGUUUAGCUUUAAAAUAUGCUUAUUAGACCAGGUCGCAAUACGAUCUAAGUCCUGGUUUAUAAGAUCACAAGUAUUGUUAACGUCAGAUGGGGAUCCUGAUAGAUAUAAUUGUAAGUCAUCAGCAUAGACAUGGUAUUUGCAAUUUACAAUCUCAUUGGUGAUAUCGCUAGUGUAAAGGAUAAAUAACAAUGGUCCUAGGGUGGAUCCUUGCGGGACUCCUCUAGAUACUGGAUACUCAGCAGAAGCAACUGUAUUGCCAUCACAUUUUCUCAGCUUAACUAUUUGUGAGCGUUGAUCUAGAUAGCUG